UACGUAGGCGGGAAAUUAAGUCAGUAGUGAGAUCCCACAGCUUAACUGUGGAACUGUUAGUGAUACUGGUUUUCUUGAAUAUAGUUGAGGUAGGCGGAAUGUGUAAUGUAGCGGUGAAAUGCUUAGAUAUUACACAGAACACCGAUUGCGAAGGCAGCUUACUAAGCUAUGAUUGACGCUGAGGUACGAAAGCGUGGGGAGCGAACAGGAUUAGAUACCCUGGUAGUCC
rnacentral:rRNA from 1 species